CAGUAGCCGCGGUAAUACGAAGGGUGCAAGCGUUAAUCGGAAUUACUGGGCGUAAAGCGCGCGUAGGUGGUUUGGUAAGAUGGAUGUGAAAUCCCCGGGCUCAACCUGGGAACUGCAUCCAAAACUGGCAAGCUAGAGUAUGGUAGAGGGUGGUGGAAUUUCCUGUGUAGCGGUGAAAUGCGUAGAUAUAGGAAGGAACACCAGUGGCGAAGGCGACCACCUGGACUGAUACUGACACUGAGGUGCGAAAGCGUGGGGAGCAAACAGGAUUAGAUACCCCGGUAGUCCCUGUCUCUUAUAC
rnacentral:rRNA from 1 species